GAUGAACGCUGGCGGCGUGCCUAAUACAUGCAAGUCGAGCGAACAGAUAAGGAGCUUGCUCCUUUGACGUUAGCGGCGGACGGGUGAGUAACACGUGGAUAACCUACCUAUAAGACUGGGAUAACUUCGGGAAACCGGAGCUAAUACCGGAUAACAUAUUGAACCGCAUGGUUCAAUAGUGAAAGGCGGCUUUGCUGUCACUUAUAGAUGGAUCCGCGCCGUAUUAGCUAGUUGGUAAGGUAACGGCUUACCAAGGCAACGAUACGUAGCCGACCUGAGAGGGUGAUCGGCCACACUGGAACUGAGACACGGUCCAGACUCCUACGGGAGGCAGCAGUAGGGAAUCUUCCGCAAUGGGCGAAAGCCUGACGGAGCAACGCCGCGUGAGUGAUGUAGGUCUUCGGAUCGUAAAACUCUGUUAUCAGGGAAGAACAAAUGUGUAAGUAACUGUGCACAUCUUGACGGUACCUGAUCAGAAAGCCACGGCUAACUACGUGCCAGCAGCCGCGGUAAUACGUAGGUGGCAAGCGUUAUCCGGAAUUAUUGGGCGUAAAGCGCGCGUAGGCCGGUUUUUUAAGUCUGAUGUGAAAGCCCACGGCUCAACCGUGGAGGGUCAUUGGAAACUGGAAAACUUGAGUGCAGAAGAGGAAAGUGGAAUUCCAUGUGUAGCGGUGAAAUGCGCAGAGAUAUGGAGGAACACCAGUGGCGAAGGCGACUUUCUGGUCUGUAACUGACGCUGAUGUGCGAAAGCGUGGGGAUCAAACAGGAUUAGAUACCCUGGUAGUCCACGCCGUAAACGAUGAGUGCUAAGUGUUAGGGGGUUUCCGCCCCUUAGUGCUGCAGCUAACGCAUUAAGCACUCCGCCUGGGGAGUACGACCGCAAGGUUGAAACUCAAAGGAAUUGACGGGGACCCGCACAAGCGGUGGAGCAUGUGGUUUAAUUCGAAGCAACGCGAAGAACCUUACCAAAUCUUGACAUCCUUUGACCACUCUAGAGAUAGAGUUUUCCCCUUCGGGGGACAAAGUGACAGGUGGUGCAUGGUUGUCGUCAGCUCGUGUCGUGAGAUGUUGGGUUAAGUCCCGCAACGAGCGCAACCCUUAAGCUUAGUUGCCAUCAUUAAGUUGGGCACUCUAAGUUGACUGCCGGUGACAAACCGGAGGAAGGUGGGGAUGACGUCAAAUCAUCAUGCCCCUUAUGAUUUGGGCUACACACGUGCUACAAUGGACAAUACAAAGGGCAGCUAAACCGCGAGGUCAAGCAAAUCCCAUAAAGUUGUUCUCAGUUCGGAUUGUAGUCUGCAACUCGACUACAUGAAGCUGGAAUCGCUAGUAAUCGUAGAUCAGCAUGCUACGGUGAAUACGUUCCCGGGUCU
rnacentral:rRNA from 1 species